rnacentral:rRNA from 1 species
AUUGAACGCUGGCGGCAGGCUUAACACAUGCAAGUCGAGCGGAGCGAGGGUGCUUGCACCUUAGCUUAGCGGCGGACGGGUGAGUAAUGCUUAGGAAUCUGCCUAUUAGUGGGGGACAACAUUCCGAAAGGGAUGCUAAUACCGCAUACGCCCUACGGGGGAAAGCAGGGGAUCUUCGGACCUUGCGCUAAUAGAUGAGCCUAAGUCGGAUUAGCUAGUUGGUGGGGUAAAGGCCUACCAAGGCGACGAUCUGUAGCGGGUCUGAGAGGAUGAUCCGCCACACUGGGACUGAGACACGGCCCAGACUCCUACGGGAGGCAGCAGUGGGGAAUAUUGGACAAUGGGCGGAAGCCUGAUCCAGCCAUGCCGCGUGUGUGAAGAAGGCCUUAUGGUUGUAAAGCACUUUAAGCGAGGAGGAGGCUCUUUUGGUUAAUACCCAAGAUGAGUGGACGUUACUCGCAGAAUAAGCACCGGCUAACUCUGUGCCAGCCGCCGCCGUAA